UCGAAGAAAAAGAGCUGAAGUUUUGCCAAUUUGUGUUUUAGGCAACAUCCACAUUGAAAUGAUCCUACACAAGCCUGACACACAGAUAAAACUCAGGAGACUUACAUGUUUGCUGUACCAAGCAGGAAACCAUGGUGGUGUAGUGGUUAAGAGCUAUGGCUGUUAAGCAAAAGAUCAGUGGUUCCUAUCCAUCAGGUGCUCCUUGGAAACUGUAUGGGGCAGUUCUACUCAGUCCUGUAUGGCUGCUAUGAGUUGGAAUCGCCUAGACGGCAGUGAAUGGUGGUGGUGGUACCAAGCAGGACUUCCACUGGGCACUUGCAUGACAUUCUUCUGUGAGAUUACCUGGUUUCUUGGGACACUACUUUUCCCAUUAAGAGUGUUUGCUGCCCUCCACUGGGGACUUGUGUAAUGGUGAAAAAUGAAAGAAACAUUUGUUGGCCACAAUUACUGGAGUAACAAGUGAGGUACUGCAUCCAGGAAGUGUGACUGGGUAAAACUUUUCUCUCUUUUGGCUUUUGUACAGCUAGAUAAGCCUUGUAUUCAUGGUUUCCUUUGUGAUAGUUAGGGAGCCCUGAUAGAUUUGAUUUUAUUUGUGUGUGUGUGUGUGUGUCAUACUUGGAAAACCAGAGCUGCUCAGUGUAACCAAAUGGAAGGCACCCUGCAAUUAAUCUUGCCUCUGUGUCAAUCCAUCUUAUCGUGGGUCUUCCUCUUUUUCACUGACCCUCUACUUCACCAAGUCUUUCUCCAGGGACUGGCCACUCCUGACAAAACGUCCAAAGUAUGCAAAAUGAAGUCUUCCCAUUCUCGCUUCUAAGGGGCAUUCUGGCUGUACUUCUUUCAAGAAAGAUUUGUUCCUUCUUCUGGCAGUCCAUGGUAUAGUCAAUAUCUUCACCAACACCAUAAUUCAAAGGCAUCGAACCUUCUUCCAUCUUCCUUAUUCAUUGUCCGGCUUUCACAGGCCAAUGAGACCAUUGAAAACAUCAUGGCUUGGGUCAGGCACACCUUAGUCUUCAAGGUGACAUCUUUGCUUUUUAACACUUUAAAGAAGUCUUUUGCAGCAGAUUUGCCCAGUGCAGUGCAUCAUUUGAUUUCUUGACUGCUGCUUCCAAGGGUGUUGAUUGUGGAUGUAAAAUAAAAUCCUUGACAACUUUAAUCUUUUCUCUGUUUAUCAUCAUGUUGCUUAUUGGUCCAGUUGUGAGCGUUUUUGUUUUCUUUAUGUUGAGGUGUAAUCCAUACUGAAGGCUGUAGUCUUUGAUCUUCAUCAAUAUGUACUUCAAGUCCUCUUCACUUUCAGCAAGAAGGGUCGUGUCAUCUGUGUAAUGCAGGUUGUUAAUGAGUCUUCCUCCAAUCUUGAUGCCCUGUUCUUCUUCAUUUAGACCAGCUUCUUGGAUUAUUUGCUCAGCAUACAGCUUGAAUAAGAAUACAACCCUGACACACACCUUUCCUGGCUUUAAACCAUGCAGUAUCCCCUUGUUCUGUCCGAACAACUGCCUCUUGAUCUAUGUACAGAUUCCCCAUGAGCACAAUUAAGUGUUCUGGAGUUCUCAUUCUUCACAAUGUUAUUCAUAAUUUGUUAUUAUCCACACAGUCGAAUGUCUUUGCAUAGUCAAUAAAACACAGGUAAAUAUCUUCCUGGUAUUCUCUGCUCUCAGCCAUGAUCCAUCUGACAUCAGCAAUGAUAUCCCUUGUACCACGUCCCCUUCUGAAUCUGGUUUGAAUUUCUGACAGUUCCCUGUUGAUGUACUACUUCAACCGUAUUUGAAUUAACUUUAGAAAAAUUUUACUUGCAUAUGAUAUUAAUGAUGUUACUUGAUAAUUUCCUAAGAGAAUAUCAGAUAGGUGUUUACCCCUGUUUAUUGACUAUGCUAAGGCAUUUGACUGUGUGGAUCAUAACAAAUUAUGGAUAACAUUGUGGAGAAUGGGAAUUCAGGGACACUUAAUUGUGCUCAUGAGGUAUCUGUACAUAGAUCAAGAGGCAGUUGUUUGAAUAGGACAAGGGGAUACUGCAUGGUUUAAAGUCAGGAAAGGUGUGUAUCAUGGUUGCAUCCUUUCACCAUACCUAUUCAAUCUGUAUGCUGAGCAAAUAAUCCAAGAACCUGGAGUAUAGGAAGAAGAAUGCAGCAUCAGGAUUGGAGGAAGACUCACUGACAACCUGCAUUAUGCAGAUGACACAACCUUGCUUGCUGAAUGUGAAAAGGAUUUGAAGUACUUACUGAUGAAGAUCAAAGAGCACAGCCUUCAGCAUGGAUUACACCUCAACAUAAAGAAAACAAAAAUCCUCACAACUGGACCAAUAAACAACAUCAUGAUGAACAUAGAAAAGAUUGAGGAUGUCAAUGGCUUCAUUUUACUUGGAUCCCCAAUCAAUACCCGUGGAAGCAGUUAUCAAGAAACCAAAAGACUCAUUGCAUUGGCAAAUCUGCUACAAAAGACCCCUUUAAAGUGUUGAAAAGCAAAGACAUCACUUUGAGGACUAAGGUGCACCUGACCCAAGCCAUGGUGUUUUCAAUGGCCUUAUAUGCAUGUGAAAGCUGGACAAUGAAUAAGGAAGACCGAAGAAGAAUUGACACCUUUGAAUUGUGCUGUUGGUGAAGAAUAUUGAAUAUACCAUGGACUGCCAAAAGAAAGAAAAAGUACAGCCAGAAUGCUCCUUAGAGGCAAGGUUGGCGGGACUACAUCUUACAUACUUUGGACAUGUUGUCAGAGGAGGGAUCAGUCCCUGGAGAAGGACAUCAUGCUUGGCAGAGGACAGGGUCAGCGGAAAAGAGGAAGACCCUCAACGAGGUGGAUUGACACAGUGGCUAUAACAAUGAGCUCAAGCAUAACAACGAUUGUAAGGAUGGCUCAGGACCAGGCAGU